GAUGAACGCUAGCGGCAGGCUUAAUACAUGCAAGACUAGGGGGCAGCAAUGUCACCGUCGCACGGGUGCGUAACGCGUAUGCAACCUACCUAUCACAGGGGGAUAGCCUUUGGAAACAGGGAUUAAUACCGCAUAAAGCAGGGGCUCCGCAUGGAGAUAUUGCUAAAGAUUUAUCGGUGAUAGAUGGGCAUGCGUCUGAAUAGUUAGAGGGUGGGGUAACGGCUUACCAUGGCGAAGAUCGGUAGGGGGCGUCAGAGCGUGGUCCCCCACACUGGCACUGAGAUACGGACCAGACUCCUACGGGAGGCAGCAGUAGGGAAUAUUGGGCAAUGGAUGCAAGUCUGACCCAGCCAUGCCGCGUGCAGGAAGAAGGUCCUCUGGAUUGUAAACUGCUUUUUUGGGGGAAGAAGAGACACCUUGCGAGGUGUUGUGACGGUACCCUAAGAAUAAGCCACGGCUAACUACGUGCCAGCAGCCGCCGUAACAC
rnacentral:rRNA from 1 species